CAACCCUCGAACCCCUCCGGGGGGUCGGCGUUGGGGAUCGGCCCCUCACCGGGCCGCCCCCGAAAUCCAGUGGCGGUCUCGCCGCAGCCUCUCCUGCGCAGUAGUUUGCACACUCGCACCGAGAGCGCGGCGCGGCCACAGCCGUAAAACACCCCAAACUCUGAAA
rnacentral:misc_RNA from 1 species